GGGGUACGAGAGGGCCGCUACCACGCGAGUGGAUGCCAAUCCCUAAAACCCCUCUCAGUUCGGACUGGAGUCUGCAACCCGACUCCACGAAGCUGGAUUCGCUAGUAAUCGCGCAUCAGCCACGGCGCGGUGAAUACGUUCCCGGGCCUUGUACACACCGCCCGUCAAGCCAUGGGAGCCGGGGGUACCUGAAGUGCGUAACCGCGAGGAUCGCCCUAGGGUAAAACUGGUGACUGGGGCUAAGUCGUAACAAGGUAAC
rnacentral:rRNA from 1 species